GGAACACAGACACCUCUAAGGAGUGCAGGAUGACGUCGGCAUCAACCAUGACGAACAGUCAGAACAUCGUCCAAGCCACAGAAGCUCUAGAAUCUAAAGAACCGGAUUUAAUACUUGGUGCCGUGACCCAGAUUCUUGUGCGGCUGAGGGGACUAAUUUGGACCUUAAGGUACGAUCUGAUAUGAGGUGGACAACAGACCGGUCUAAAAGAGGAUAGAGUGAGACAUGCAAGCGUGGGACCUCUCAGACUCGCCAGACUCCCCACCGCCUGCACUGCUAAUCCAGACCCCAUCAACUCCACCCCCUUCUCCACAGAUGCUGCAGGAUCCUACAGGAUCAGGUCUGUGUGAGGAAACCAUUAUCGACAUCAAGCUUGCAACCCAUCACCUGGUGAUGUUGGCAUUAAACGCUUUUCUACAGGAAACAUGCUACGGAUGUCGAACAGCUCAUCCCAGUCAGGU